AUGGCUGCAGCUGAAGUGAUGCAAGGCCAAGAGGCAGGAGCCUCACUGGGUCUCCCACAUGAGUGCAGGUCCCAAGGCUUUGUCAGGUCGCAAACAGGGAGCUGGAUGGGAAGUGAAGCAAAUGGGACACAAACUGGUGCCCACAUGGGCUCCUGACGCAUGCAAAGUGAGGAUUUAGCUACUGAACCAUCACAUCAGACCCUCAAAAUACAACAGUAGUAAUGUUAGCCAUUUGAAUAUGCUCAAGAGAAGUCAUAAAGUGUUUUCUCUCAUAGGAAAAGUGAAAUUAAAAUAAGAUCAAUGGGUAUAUUCACCUAACUCUUAGCAUAGUAUGUUAUUGUGAUUAUUCCAUUUCAUUGUAAUCUCAUACUGUACCUAAUGUAUAAAUCAAACUUUUGCAGAAAACAACUGUAUCUUCUAUUUCAAACCUCCAUUGGUGGUCUUGGAAUACCUACUCUGUCUUGAUACCACUGUUU